rnacentral:rRNA from 1 species
GGGACCAUCCUCCAAGGCUAAAUACUCCUGACUGACCGAUAGUGAACCAGUACCGUGAGGGAAAGGCGAAAAGAACCCCGGCGAGGGGAGUGAAAAAGAACCUGAAACCGUGUACGUACAAGCAGUGGGAGCCUCUUUAUGGGGUGACUGCGUACCUUUUGUAUAAUGGGUCAGCGACUUAUAUUCUGUAGCAAGGUUAACCGAAUAGGGGAGCCGAAGGGAAACCGAGUCUUAACUGGGCGUUAAGUUGCAGGGUAUAGACCC